rnacentral:rRNA from 1 species
AACACAUGCAAGUCGAAGGCACCUCAUGGAUAGCUUGCUAGAAAUAGGGCACAGGGGUAGGGGUACGUACACACUUCUCAUCCGUCUAUAACUCCGUCUUCCCCCUGAUCACACCCCUCCCCUCCCCCCCCUAUCUCUGUUGGGAGGUCUGGGGAGGGAGCGAGGAGCGGCGGGCGGAUGUAGGUGGGUUGGGGGUUUUUUUGUCUUGGUUAGCUUAUCCCCCCUCUCCCCCCUCCCCCCCGCCCUCGGUGCGGUUUGAGUUGGGCGUGGCAGAGUGGCUAGGGUUCGGUGUUGUAGGGAGUGGAGUUGUAUAGGUUUCCCAGCUGUAGUCGUCCAGUGUCCCACUCCUCCCCCCCCCCGCUCCGGCCCCUCCGCCCAGGCUAAUUGUAGGAUUUCGCUC